rnacentral:rRNA from 1 species
GACAGAGGCCUCGAGCGUUAGGCGGAAUCACUGGGCUUAAAGCGUGUGUAGGCGGAUCGUUAAGUACCUUGUGAAAUCCCACGGCUCAACCGUGGAACGGCUGGGUAUACUGGCGGUCUUGAGCAGCCUAGGGGCGACCGGAACAAACGGUGGAGCGGUGAAAUGCGUAGAUAUCGGGUGGAACACCAGUGGCGAAGGCGCCUAUCUGGCUGACAACUGACGCUGAGACUCGAAAGCAUGGGGAGCAAACAGG